rnacentral:lncRNA from 1 species
GUUGCUUCAUGUGCCUACUUCUCGUCAGCUGGCCGACUUGCUCACUAAGCCCCUGCCUGGCACUUUACUUCUUCCGCUGCUCACCAAGUUGCAGGUGGUCUCCCCCUCCAACUUGAGGGGGGGUGUUGAGAUAAGAGAUGAUACAUGAUUUAGUCUUGUAUAUGAUUGUACAUUUUUGUGUAUAUUCAGGGUAUAAUUUUGGUAUAUCAAUGGUAUACCUUAUAAUUAUAUUGUAACUG